CGGCGGACGGGUGAGUAACACGUGGGUAAUCUGCCUUAUACAGGGGGAUAACAGUUAGAAAUGACUGCUAAUACCGCAUAAGCGCACGGAAACGCAUGUUUCAGUGUGAAAAACUCCGGUAGUAUAAGAUGAGCCCGCGUCUGAUUAGCUGGUUGGUGGGGUAACGGCCUACCAAGGCGACGAUCAGUAGCCGGCCUGAGAGGGUGAACGGCCACAUUGGGACUGAGACACGGCCCAAACUCCUACGGAAGGCAGCAG
rnacentral:rRNA from 1 species